rnacentral:lncRNA from 1 species
AUUACCAUAAACAAAAGAUAAAUAAGCUAACAGUCCUGCAAGAAACACAAUUCGAUCAUACCAUUUUAUUUAUUCUAAAAAAAAUUAUCUAAAAAUGUGAAGCAACUAAACUUUGAACUUAAAAUCUCGAAAAUUAACCAUCAAAUUCUUUACAUAUAUGGUAAGACAACCUUAGCCAUACAACUUUGAGAUAAAUAAGCUAACAAUCAUGCAAGAAACACAGUUCGAUCGUAUCGUUUUAUUUAUUCUAAAAAAAAAUUAUCUGAAAAUAUGAAGCAGCUAGACUUCGAACUUAAAACCUCGGAUAUUAACCAUCGAAUUCUUUACAUAUAUAGUAAGACAAUCUUUUUUUCUUUUUAUUUUUGAGAGAGAGAAAGGUAGUAUGCUACCCGCUUCGUUUAUUUCAUUUAAAAAUAAAUUUAGCUGAAAAUGUGAAUCAACUAGGAUUCGAACUUGGGUCUCGGAUACCAACCACUAAGCCUUUUUGCCACUUGCGCUAGGGACGGUCGGUUAGUAAGACAACCUUAGCCAUACAACUUUCAAAUAAAAAAAGCUAACAGUCGUGUAAGAAACAUUUAGUUCGAUCAUAUUGUUUUAUUUAUUCUAAAAAAAAUUAUUUGAAAAUAUAAAGUAACUAGACUUCGAACUUAAAACCUCGAAUAUUAAUCAUCGAAUUCUUUACAUAUAUAUAGUGAGACAACCUUAGCCAGACAACUUUUAACCAAACCGCAAAGCUAACUACUAAAGCUUCGUUUGGAAUUGCGAGGAGAUUACGUUACGUGUGGUGAGAAAGUACGUUGGAAAAAUAUCCUGUUUAUUUCCGUACGUAAUAUUGCGUUCCGCAUAUCGCGAUGAGUCGGUUACGAUAUAUUUUCUGCGGUCCCACCGGAGAACGCAGAAGCAUAUCCCUAUAUGCUUUUUUCUCAACUCCAUUUUAUCUAAUAGCAUUAGAUAGACCUCAAUACCAAACUAAGCCUAAAGCUUCGUUUGAAAUUGCGGGGAGAUUACGUUACGUGUGGUGAGAAAGUACAUUGGAAAAAUACCAUGUUUGUUUCCGUACGUAAUAUUGCGUUCCGCAUAUUACGAUGAGUCGGUUAUCCCACCGGAGAACGCAGAAACGUAUCCCUAUAUAUUUUUUUCUCAACUUCAUUUUAUUUAAUAGCGUUAGAUAGAAUUCAAUACUAAACUAAGCCUAAAAGAUGGAGGAAGCAUAAGAAAUCUUUGCGUUGAAAAAUACGAGAGAUUUGAGAAAAAAAAGUUUAGUCAGUACAGUGGUUACCAUAUAGCUUUCACCUUCAGCCACGCUCUAAAUCCGUGAUAAACUAGUGAAAUACCCGCGCGAUGCUGCGGAUCUAAAAUAUUUUUACAAUAAAUUUUAUUUUUUUAAAUAUUUUUAUAUAGUUUUAUAAGUCUAAUUAUUAAUUAAAUAAAAAUUAUAUAAAAAUAAUUUAAUAGUUAAAUCUAUUUAAAUAAAAGUCAUUAAAAUUAGUAUAUGCCCAAAUAAAUUUAUACAUCACUUUAUUUUAUAAAGAUUUAUAUGAGAAGGAUUUGAGAUAAAUCUAUCAAAAUAAUUUUUAAAAAAUCAAU